rnacentral:rRNA from 1 species
GACGUAGGGCGCGAGCGUUGUCCGGAAUUAUUGGGCGUAAAGAGCUCGUAGGCGGUUUGUCGCGUCUGCCGUGAAAGUCCGGGGCUCAACUCCGGAUCUGCGGUGGGUACGGGCAGACUAGAGUGAUGUAGGGGAGACUGGAAUUCCUGGUGUAGCGGUGAAAUGCGCAGAUAUCAGGAGGAACACCGGUGGCGAAGGCGGGUCUCUGGGCCGCAUACUGACGCUGAGGAGCGAAAGCGUGGGGAGCGAACAGG